AUUUCAACUUGUCUUUAUUGAAACUGCAAUUUUCUAGUCUGUUUUCUUAGAUCUGCAGUAUCUCUGUGUAACACUGUUUCCAAGCUCAAUUAGGAGGAUUUUUAUUUCAUCCCCAUAAAAUAUCUCCUUUUUUAUGCCCUUUGAGUGCCCCAAGUGGGUUUAUAAUUACACAAUCUUUAUUGAAGGAGUACAGAUGAAGUAACAAUUCUCAUUUCUAAUUCCAAUUUUCUGGAAAGACAUUUAAGUCUUCAAUCCCUGGGUACCUGAAAAAAGCAAACAAGGUACAGAUGCCUGUAAUUUUUCCUAUUUUUAGUUUUGGAACGAAUCUUUUCUUACGGCAAUGAAAGCAAAUGAAAAAACCAGUCCUUGAACACUUGCAACAAAAGACUAUCACUUUCUACUGGAAUUGACAUUGGAUUAAAAAGCUAAAGUUUGAAAGUAAAAUUAUUUUGCUACUCUUUAAAUAUUUAAGCAGUUUGAAAAUAAAUUAGAAAAUAAAUACGCGUAUUUCCCUAAUAGUGCACACCACUUGGGUGACAUUCUGUAUACUCCUAUUUUUGCCAUGAUGUGGAUUUUUUUCCUAUCAAAUGAAAACCUACAGAAAUAAAUUCUGAAACAGAUAGAUUGUUCCCCUCCUUCCAUUCUCAUGCCAAUGAAAUAUUUCAAGUGAACUGUUUUCUGAUCACAAAUAUCAUGUUUUUUUAAAAAAAUAAAAAAGCAGUUAUUUAAAAGAAUACAUACUAUUAUUAAAAGUUAGUCAAGACCAACUAAUAAGACCUCAAAAAUGAACAUAUUUCAAAGAAUUUUGUUCUCUUCAAUAGUUGCAUGAGUUUUUUUUUUUUUUUUUUUUCCAGGAAAAUGUGCAAAUAUCAAGGUUACCUGGGUCUGCUGGUCACUUCUAGUUUUUGGACUCUUGAAGAUGGUCUCUGUGACUCUGUCCUGGGUGAGAAGAAAGCAAGCAAGUAAGAGACCAAAGACUUGGAUUAAAAGCAAGAUGAGAAGUAAAAAGAGUACCUAGUGAUUUAAAGAUUUGUUCCCUUCCUAGCCUCCAAAGUGCUUGCCAUCCAAGAAGCCUUCAUGCCCUCAGCUUUAUUGGGAGGGCAUCCUGGAAUGAACCCCACUGUGCAGGAGAGGCAAGGAAACUGUUCUUAGAAGAGGCCUGAAGAGAAACAUGACUGACUAGUCCACAGGGACCUCUGGAAUGAGAAGAACUGAGACAGAGAGGCUGGAGUAAAGGAGCAGCAGACCUCCAGACACAUGAUGAUAGUUACCCUUGCUGAUUUCACCCCUUUCUCCGGUCUUACUUCAUCCUUGUAGAUGGAGCCCCUAAGAUACAACACUUCAUCUUCUUGUUGGGAAAAAGCUGAGUGUUGGGAAAAAAGCUGAGGCAGGGCUUGCAUGUCUGACAUAAUGUCCAGGGCUCAGUGCAUAAAACCCCUCGUGGCCUCUGGAAUGAGUCUAGACUUGCUGGCUCCUUGCUUCUAGCUUAAACUGGAAGAACAUGCUCCCUAUUAUCUCAAGUAGCAGAAUAUGUUCCAUAUGCUUCAAAGGAAAUGCUAAACUAUCACAGCUGUAGAUCAUGUGCUUGCCCUUUUGACCCACACAUUCUCACCACCUGUUUCUUUGUUUGACCACCAAUAAAUAGUCUGGGCUUCCAGCGCUCAGGGCCUUCACAGCCUCCAUACUUGCAUUGGCCACCUGGACCCACUUUCUCUCUCAAACUGUCUUUUCUCUUUCCUUUGACUCUGCCAGACUUCCUUGCCCCAAGGCCUGGUGUUGGAUCUGAUCACCCCAACAUUCCUGGCUGCCCAACGUGGGGCGACAAAGGCCCUGGUGAAGGAACACUAGAGCAUGUGAAAGCAGGGGAUGCAUUGUCAAAGGACACCCAAGGAUGACUAAAGGAAGCUUGGUGGGAAAGCUGAGGGCUCGGAAGAACCAGGGUAACAACAGGACAAAGUGAAAGCAAAUAUUCUGCUUAUUUAAGUUUCUUAAGGCAUUUAUUAUGAAGAGCGGGGGUGAAAGUUAGUACUCAGAAUUUGUUAUCACUCUUUAGUACGGUAAAGGAGUUUUGCCCAUGGUUCCUGGAACAAGGGACUAUGGAGUUGGAUGAAUGGGAGAGAACUGGCAGAGAUUUUUAAAAGGCAUAUAAAGAUGGAGCAAAAAUUCCAGUUUUUUUUUGUCAAUGUGGGUGAUAAUAAAGGCAGCUUUUGAGCCAUUUCAAACAGAUGAUGAGGUAGAUUCAGAUGAGGAAGAGGAGGACGAGUGUAAAGAACUAAUUUCAGAUUCUGAAUGUGAGGAACAGAAAACAGAGGAAAUUAAAGAAAAGAAAGGGAAACUGAAAGAAGUAUGUUUUACUAGCCCGUUGGCUCCACCUGCUGAAUUAAGUGAAUGGCCACCUCUUCUCUCUCCCAUUAAUGGGCGAGAAAAUGAAUUAGCUGAAAAACACCGCUCCUGUAGUUGCAACAUUAAAACCUGGAGCAAUUGGUGGUGCUAUACAAAAUUCUAUUCAAAAAGCUAGAGCCGAGGGAGACCUUGAAGUAUGGCAAUUUCCCAUUACUAUAAUCCAGCAAGGAGGAAAGGAAUUCAAGCAAGCCAUUACUCUGAAUACGUUAAGGCUUGCGAUGGCAUUGGAGGUAACUUACAUAAGGCUACUCUUUCAGCUCAGGCUAUGGCUGGAUUAAGAGUAGGAAAGAAUAUGCCCCAUUUCUCAGGCUCUUGUUCCAAUUGUCAGCAAUUUGGACACAAAAAAGGAAUGGAGAAAAGGAAAUCAAAAGGCAAGAACUGCUACUGUCAAUCAACAGAAAAGCCUUGGUGUAUGCCCCCAUUGUAAAAAAGGCAAUCACUGGGCAAAUCAGUGUCGUUCUAAAGAUGGACAACCUCUUUCAGGAAAUGGGAAGAGUGGCCCACCUCAGGCCCCUCAACAAACCGAGGCAUACCCAGCACAGCCAGUGCCCUCACAAGCGUACAACAAUUGUCCCCUGCCACAGCAGGCAGUGUUGCCAUAGACCUUUGCAGCACAAUUACCAUCUCCCUAUUUCCUGGGGAGCUGCCAAAAAAGCUCCCUACGGGAGUUAGAGGACGCUUACCCUCAGGAACAGUUGAUCUAUUACUUGGAAGGUCUAGUCUAAAUUUGAAAGGUGUUGCUGUGCAUACAGGAAUAAUUGACUCUGAUUAUACCAGAGAAAUUCAAUUAGUUAUUAGUUCCUCAACUCUGUGGUCUGCCUCCCCAGGAGAAAGAAUUGCUCAGUUGCUGCUGCUACCCUAAACAAAACUAGGAAGCCGCACAGUGAAAGAACAGGCGGCUUUGGUAGUACUAAUCCUGCAGGAAAGGCUGUAUAUUGGGUUAAUCAAGUGUCUGACAAAAGACCUAUUUGCAUAGUGACUAUUUAGGGAAAGGAUUUUGAAGGACUAGUAGAUACUGGAGCUGAUGUCUCUAUUAUUGCUCUAAAUCAAUGACCCCGACACUGGCCCAAACAAAAAGCUUCCAUGGGUAUCAUUGGCGUAGGAACCGCCUCAGAGGUUUUUCACAGUUCCUUGAUUUUACCAUGUCAAGGGCUGGAUGGCUAGGAAGGGACAAUUCAGUCUAUUAUUACACCUAUUCCUGUCAAUUUAUGGGGAAGAGACUUAUUGCAACAAUGGGAUGCUGAAAUAUCUAUUCCUAUGGAUCAAUAUAGUAAUAAUAGUAGACAAAUGAUGAGAAAUAUGGGAUAUCGACUUGGAGAAGGACCAGGAAUAUAAGACACUGCAUAUGUAAUUGCAUUUAGCUUUAUUAACAUUAAAAUUUUUAAAUUUACAAAAAGAUCAACCCAUAACUGCAGUGAAACAACACCUAACAGGACAAAAGGAAAAUAAAAAGGCUGGACAAGAUAUAUGGUGGAGGAAUGCACAUACAAAGAGCUGGGAAAAAGGAAAGAUAAUUAUAUGGGGAAGAAGAUUUGCUUGUGUCUCUCCAGGUGACAAUCAGGUGCGUGUGUGGGUGCCCACCAAACAUCUGAAGAUCUAUCAUGAGCCACAGCAUCUAGCGGACCCACCUGUACAGUGCAAAUUGAAGGUUUGAGAAGCCUCCAUUUGCUUUCUCUGUGCCUUCUAUUAGAAGGGGCCUGUUUCUCAUUAUCAGUGGAAAGUUCUACCUCAUGGAGAUGAACGAACCGUGUGGGUGCAAUCCCCAUAACAUGGGGACAGAUCAAGAAAACCGCACAGGAAGCUGAGAAACUGCUGGAGCGCCAGGGUUUUACCUACAGAUGCUUAAUGGACCAAUGCUUUCUGACUGAGUGCCUCUCUACCCUGAAUACAAGAGACCCUAAUAGUUAGGCAGGAGUAUCAUUGCCCCCAUUCAGCAUGGACCUUCAUCCUGAAACCCCUAGGAUUAAGGGUCCUCUUGUAAAAGGGAAAGGGGAGAUACGUGGGAAGCAUUCAAACCAGAGCGACUCCAUUUUGAAUAAGGGCUAAGAACAAUGAAGUUGGAUCACCAACUGGCAAUCAAAGGCUGCACAGCCUGCAAUUGCCUUGCUC